UACGUAGGGUGCGAGCGUUAAUCGGAAUUACUGGGCGUAAAGCGUGCGCAGGCGGCGCGUUAAGACAGGUGUGAAAGCCCCGAGCUUAACUUGGGAAUUGCGCUUGUGACUGGCGUGCUGGAGUGUGGCAGAGGGAGGUGGAAUUCCGACGUGUAGCAGUGAAAUGCGUAGAGAUGAUGGAGGAACACCGAUGGCGAAGGCAGCCUCCUGGGCCAGCAC
rnacentral:rRNA from 1 species